rnacentral:lncRNA from 1 species
CAAGAUUCAUUUUUUGGAAAUUUCUUUCUUAAAGACUCCUUAACAAGUAAAGUUAAGGAUUCUUCUUUAAAGAAUGGAAAUUCAGUUACUAAAUUUCAUAUAGAAAACGUAGAAGAUAGAGGCUUGUUCGUUUAUUUGGAUCAAAAGAUCAGAAGCAAUUUCGUCCAAAAGUUUCAAAGAAAUCCAAAUCCAAAUUUCGUGUAUAAAUUUCAAAGGAGCAAGAACAAUUUCGUUCAAGAAUUUCGCAGAAACAUGUAUGUUAAGGUUAUCCCUUCUUUCUUUUGGCAUGAUCAUACGAUACGAACGAAACGUGCAAAUGCACAAAUUCAAUGAAUGACUUUAUUCAUAGAAGUAUUAGAGAUAUUUUAUGAAUGACUCUAUUCAAUAUUUUAUCAUCUGUUCAUGGGUCUCACAAUAAUACGCAGUUGGAAAAAUUUAUCCAAAAAGAAUAUUGAGAUUAUUACGUAUUUUUCAUGCAUCUCAUAUAUGUGGAUUGACCCAUGACCAGAUGGCGUUAUAUACGCAUAUAUAUGUAUAUUACAUUUAUAUGGGAUACGGGAAAAGGUUAGGGUGUUAUAUACGCACCACCACCUGAUCAGCUGGUAUAUGAUGAUGAUGUUGCCCACAAUGGCUGAAAUAUGAUUCAAACGGCGUUAUAUACGCAUAUAUAUAUAUGUAUGUAUAUGGGAUAUGGGAAAGGUUAUGGCGUUAUAUACGCACCACCACCUGAUCAGCUGGUAUACGGCGAUGAUUUUGCCCACAGUGGCCGAUAUGAUAUGAUAGGAUGCCCUUAGAGGCUGAUGAUGCUAUAAAACAUGUACCUAUGCACGACAUGACAUUCAUAUGCAUAUGCAUAACGCUAAAAGUAAUUUAUGAUUUACAAAGUUAUUCAGACUUACAGGUUGAGUCAUGUACUCUAUAUGUCUUCCAUGUCUCUUAUGUAUUUAUUUAUGUGCCUUACAUACUCGGUACAUUAUUUGUAUUGGCGUCCCUUUUACCUGGGGGCGUUGCGUUUCAUGCCCGCAGGUCCCGAUAGACAGGUCGAGAGCCCUCAAGUAAGCUAUCAGCUCAGCGGAAGAUGUUGGUGCACUCCAUUUGCUUCGGAGUUGCUUGUUUGGUUAGUAUGAUUUAGACGUGUAUUGUUUGGUAUGGCAGGACUCUAUCCCGACCUUUAUGACAUUUAUGUUGUCUUAGAGGCUUGUAGACAUAUGUCGUAUAUGUGAAAGAUUGUACAGCCUUGUCGACC